CAAAAAUUUCCCAUAAGUUCUAAAUUUUCACGGGGGCAGCUCUCUCUCGCGACAUUUUUAGAAAACUCUCUCUCUCUCUCUCUCUCAACUCCCUUUCUCAUCUCUGAAACACCAUCUCCAUCGCGCCAUCUUGGUCUCCGAGCUUGCCAUCCAGGUCACAUAUCUCGCCGUCCAAGUGACUGAGGUCGCCAUAUCCCUUGCGUCUAGGUGAUUGAGGUUGCCAAAAUUAUCGCCAUGGGUAAAGCCAGAGUAGCUGCUAGCAAACGAAGUGAUACGAAGUUGAAGAGUAAGAGUGUUGUUCUGGAGCGAGCAAGAAGCCGGCGAAGAAAGCUGGAAAGGAUCCAAACAAGCCGAAGAGACCUGCUAGUGCCUUCUUUGUUUUCAUGGAGGACUUUAGAGAAAGUACAAGAAGGAGCAUCCAAACAACAAAUCCGUUGUCGCUGAAAUUGUUGAUAUGGCAAUUGUUGCUCUAUUUCAAAUUGGCUUGAUAACAGUAGUGGGUUAUACUCCCAAGUUGAUAACAAUAUGUGGUCUUCAGUCUCAUAGCCUCAAGCCAUAUGUUUGUUGUGUUCAGUAAAAGCAGGAGCAUGACAAUUCUCAAGGAGGUAUGUCCUUAUCCUUCUCUUCUACGAUACAUAAUGAGGGAUUACGUUUUGUUGGUGUUCUCUGUCCCUUAUUGUGCUCGGGAAUUGAUGAUAAAUUUUUUGAGUAUCUGCCUUACUUCUCAAAUGGUUGGCUAUGUCUUCCAUAGGCUUUGAGGUUGGUUUCAUUUCAAAUUCUAUUUAUAAUCCAGAUUGAGAUUUAUACCAUGUUUCGGUUACAACGUGAAUAGUUUGGGGUACUUGGGAUCAUAAUAUUAUAAGAUUUAGUAAUCUAGAUUGGUACAAGUCUGAUUUUUGAGUGGUCAGCAAGGAAUUGCGUGGGCUUUUUUCUCUCACUAUUUUGUUCUCUUUAUGCUGUGAUUAAGAAGAAAUAUGGUCAGGAUGCAACUAAUGCUGGUGACGAAGGUGGAUUUGCACCUAAUAUUCAGGUUAACAAUAGUUUGAUGAAACCUAAUCAUUUAACUGAAGUUGCUAUUAUUCCUUGUUAUUCCUUUCACAUCUCUCUACUGAUAUCAAUUGAAGAUCCAUUUGACCAAGAUGACUAAGAACACUACUCCAAGAGGACAACUGAAUGUGGAGAGCAAGUACAAAUUGUGGGAGAUACAACAACCAUAGGUUAAUACUUUGGAUAUGGUAUUUUGUAAUUAUAGGUUAAUGCUAUGGAUAUGGUAUUUUGUAUGGAUAUAGUAGGAAUCAAGAUUGGUAAACCGUGUAAUUACUAUUGAAUCUUCAAGUUUUAUGAAAGAAACAAAUUUUUAGCA